GACGAACGCUGGCGGCGUGCUUAACACAUGCAAGUCGAACGGACCUUCGGGUUAGUGGCGAACGGGUGAGUAACACGUGGGUGAUCUGCCCUGCACUUUGGGAUAAGACUGGGAAACUGGGUCUAAUCCCGAAGAGGAUCGCUGGCUUCAUGGCGGGGGGUGGAAAGCUUCUGCGGAGUGGGAUGGGCCCGCGGCCUAUCAGCUUGUUGGUGGGGUAAUGGCCUACACAGGCAACGACGGGUAGCCGGCCUGGGGGGGUGACCGGCCACACUGGGACUGAGAUACGGCCCAGACUCCUACGGGAGGCAGCAGUGGGGAAUAUAGCACAAUGGGCGCGAGCCUGAUGCAGCGACGCCGCGUGGGGGAUGACGGCCUUCGGGUUGUAAACCUCUUUCGCCAGGGACGAAGCGCAAGUGACGGUACCUGGAGAAGAAGGACCGGCCAACUACGUGCCAGCAGCCGCCGUAAAAC
rnacentral:rRNA from 1 species